AACGUAGGAGACGAGCGUUAUCCGGAUUUACUGGGCGUAAAGAGCGUGUAGGAGGCAAUACAAGUUGGAUGUAAAAGCUCUCGGCUAAACUGAGAGAGGACGUUCAAGACUGUAGAGCUAGAGGAAGGCAGAGGUAGAUGGAACUCCGGGAGUAGUGGUGAAAUGCGUAGAUAUCCGGAAGAACACCAGAGGCGAAAGCGAUCUACUGGGCCUUAACAGACACUGAGACGCGAAAGCCAGGGUAGCAAACGGGAUUAGAGACCCCGGUAGUCCUGGCCGUAAACGAUGUAGACUAGGCGCUUGUCGGGCAAAACCGGUGAGUGUCGAAGCGAACGCGAUAAGUCUACCGCCUGGGGAGUACGGUCGCAAGAUUAAAACUCAAAGGAAUUGACGGGGGCCCGCACAAGCAGCGGAGCGUGUGGUUUAAUUCGAUGAUACACGAAGAACCUUACCAGGGUUUGACAUACAGGUGGUAGAGAAGCGAAAGUGGAACGACCCUUCGGGGAGCCUGAACAGGUGCUGCAUGGCU
rnacentral:rRNA from 1 species